rnacentral:rRNA from 1 species
GACGAACGCUGGCGGCGUGCCUAAUACAUGCAAGUCGAGCGGACAGACGGGAGCUUGCUCCCUGAUGUUAGCGGCGGACGGGUGAGUAACACGUGGGUAACCUGCCUGUAAGACUGGGAUAACUCCGGGAAACCGGGGCUAAUACCGGAUGGUUGUCUGAACCGCAUGGUUCAGACAUAAAAGGUGGCUUCGGCUACCACUUACAGAUGGACCCGCGGCGCAUUAGCUAGUUGGUGAGGUAACGGCUCACCAAGGCAACGAUGCGUAGCCGACCUGAGAGGGUGAUCGGCCACACUGGGACUGAGGCACGGCCCAGACUCCUACAGGAGGCAGCAGUAGGGAAUCUUCCGCAAUGGACGAAAGUCUGACGGAGCAACGCCGCGUGAGUGAUGAAGGUUUUCGGAUCGUAAAGCUCUGUUGUUAGGGGAGAACAAGUGCCGUUCAAAUAGGGCGGCACCUUGACGGUACCUAACCAGAAAGCCACGGCUAACUACGUG